rnacentral:rRNA from 1 species
GGUAGUAAAUCAAACCAAUAUGUAAUGGCGGUCUUCAGUAUCUAGAGAAACUCGCUUUAUAAUCGUAACUACUCGAUAAGUUUAACUUUACUUAUUAGUUUAUAUACCGCCGUUUAGGGUUAUACUUUACCCAAACCCAUAAUAUAACAACAUAAAAAAUCAGGUCAAGGUGUAACUCAUAGAAAAGAAAAAGUAAGUUACAUUAAAGAUAAUUUAAGAAUUAUACAUAAAAAUAAAUAUGAAAAAGAAUUUAGAAGUACGUAUUAAUUAAAAUUUAAAACCUAAAUAAAUACUAAAGAUGC